AGUGGUGCCCCAGACCUCGAAAGCACUGUACCGCCUUGGCCUCUACCACAUCUCUGUCAGAUUAAAAGUGUUACUCCUCUUUUACGUAAGAAGAGACGUGGAGGCGGAAGUUUCAAAACCCUGAGUGGGUUGCAUACCUACUAAGAGGUGGAGUCUGAAUGCACCCUCAAGAUCAAGCCAUUCCAGAGCCUGUGUUUCUAACCCGAUGCUAAUCUGCCGUCCUUCUGGAUAACUUUUAACUGGUGACUUUUCUUGUACACCUGGCUGCCUCUCUUCUUGUCACUGGAUGCGCCUGCUCUUUGUUGCGUUGGGGUUUUGAGCAGCUCCCCUUUGCCAAGUGGGCUGGAGGGGUGGCGUUUCUGUCUUCCAAUUUAGUGUUACCUCUCCUAGCCCUAAGCAUCACCCCAUGCCUGGCUGGGUCCUGAGAUAUGAAGCAAUAAUCUCUAUUUCAAAACCCAGAGGAGAACAGGGUUCCAAAGUCCAUUUUGAUCCAGAUUUUCACUCAGCUAGGUCUUUUGUGGGCCCUCCAAGAUAAGUCCCCAUUUUUGUCAUUUUCUAGCUCUGUGCUAUUCCUGUCCCAUGUGUGGAGGCCCCUGUUUAAGCCAUUUUUCUUAUUUCCUGUAAAUGACUUCUUAAGAUUCAAACACGUUAAGCAGAGUUUUCCAGUUUCAUUCAAGGUGAUCAGACACCUGCUCUCAAUACUGCAGGGUUAUGCGAGUUGUACUAUCAGUGAAUGUAAAUAAAGACUCCACCCCCCACCCCGUAUUAAGCAACAUUGUGCAUUGUGUGUUAUCAUGGUGGAGUGUUUGUUACAUUAGGAAAGUUCCAGCAGUCCCUUUGUAAGUGAGGGUUUAGAACUACAAACACAUUUUUCUCAGAUAAAUUAUGUUACAAAUCCUAGAAAAAUUCCUAGGAUAGCACAUCAAACAAACAAACAAACAAACAAAAAACACAAAAAACUAAAUACAGAGUUCCCAUCGUGGCUCAGUGGUUAACAAAUCUGACUAGUGUCCGUGAGGAUGCGGGUUUGAUCCUUGGCCUAGCUCCGUGGGUUAAGGAUCCAGCAUUACCGUGAGCUGUGGCAUAGGUCGCAGACGUGGCUCAGAUCCUGCGUUGCUGUGGCUGUGGUGCAGGCCAGCAGUUGUAGCUCUGAUUCCCUAACCUGGGAACCUCCAUGUGCCACUGGGUGAAGCCCUAAAAAGACAAAAAAAAAAGACCAAAAACAAACAAACAAACCUAAAUCCUUAUGUAGCGGUGCUAAUGGUAUAGAAAUAAUUUGUUUCAUCCAGUUCCACUGGCUAAACGGUGUUCUACAUAUGGACAUUAUUUUGAAUAAAUGGUACCUGCACUUGAAGUGAAAAAUGUACUUUAAACCGCUUUGGAUAUGAUACUGUCCUCUAAGACGUGUUAAAUUCUUCCAUCCCAUCUUAAUCAGGCUGUUCUGAAUGUGUUAUGUACUCUGGUCCCCACAUUUAGAAAUUAAAAAAAAAAAAAAGGUGGCAUUGUGCCACUUAAAAUUUUUUUUUUGAAUUUUUUUUUCUCCACUGUACAGCAAGGGGAUCAAGUUUUCCUUACAUGUAUACAUUACAAUUACAUUUUUUUCCCCACCCUUUGUUCUGUUGCAACAUGAGUAUCUAGACAAAGUUCUCAGUGCUACUCAGCAGGAUCUCCUUGUAAAUCUAUUCUAAGUUGUGUCUGAUGAGCCCAAGCUCCCGAUCCCUCCCACUCCCUCCCCCUCCCAUCAGGCAGCCACAAGUCUCUUCUCCAAAUCCAUGAUUUUCUUUUCUGUGGAGAUGUUCA
ensembl:lncRNA